UAGCCCCCUAGCCUACGACAACCAUCCCCAUAAUCUCCAUGCCUUGAAAAUUUUCUUUGAUAUGAUUUGAGAUGUUGGUGAUGAUUAUUUUUAUAUACUAUGGGUAUGGAUUAUUAUUUUUUUUCUUUUAUAUGCAAACAUUCAGUUUCAUUUGAGAAGUUACCAAAACAAAACUCAAAUUCCCUCAUCCUUUCUCUCUGUAUCUACGACUACAACAAACACACACAUAUUAGUUUUUCUAAGUUUUAUUCAAUAGUCAAGCUAAGUUCAAGGGUUUCAAGUGGUGAUUCAAGUAUUUUCAAGUCUCAUUCUUCAUUUGCCUUAAAACUUGCAGCCGCACACCUCAUCUGCUCCCUCUCUUCUUCGAACCAGCCACCGGAAAAGCUCCGGUCGAGCUUCAGCCACGAGCUCCCACCACACACAAACACCCAGCCACACUCACAUCCCCUCGUCCUCUUCUCUCUCGUUUUCAAGUCCGGCGAAACACAGGAGGAGCCGGCAAGUAGCAGCGGCGGCACGAUUAGGGUUCCGGCCGCACCCAUAGUGGCGGUGGUGAUGGUUUUCGACAGUGAUGUCCGACGGCAGCAAGUGUUGAGCUUGUAUCGGACCUGCACGUGCUCCAAAUCUGAGCAAAUUGUUCUCUGGUAACUUGGAGCUCCGAUGAACCUCGUCUAGUGUACGUCGACAUCGGUCAAAGUCUUGUUCAGAUUUAUUGGAGUUAACAUCAACUGGGUUUGGCUCGGUUCAGAUUCAUGUCGGGUCACGGUUCGAUUCGGGUUCAGAUUAAGCGGGUCAAAGUUCAGUCAAAGCUAGUUAAACUACAGUUUCGGUUCGGGUCAGAACUGGUCAACGGGUUCGGUUCGGUCAAAGUCAGAUUUUGAUUGGUCAAAGAUGGUCAACUAUCGGGUCAAAACUCGGUCAACGCAAGCCCGGAAUGUCGUAGUUGCACGCUAGCUAAAUACACGUUCUUGGAACAACACUACGGAAUCACGCUAAGCUAGCAUUGCACAGGAAUGUCAAGGUUGCAUUUUCAAAACUAUGGAACGGUUGGAAUAGGAGAACCCAUGGGAAUUCGAGUACUUAGCGGGGUUCAUUUUCGAGAAGUCUUAGCUUAUUUGCUUCCGCUGUGCAAUGAAGAUACCGGUCCAGUCAUGCCAGCUCUGAUAUUUCGAGGUGUGACAUAGUGAGCUUGACAAGAUGAAAGAAAAUUAUUGUUUGAUGUCAAUUACGUGAAAGAGUCGUAUGAUGUGUUGAACAAAACAGUGAAUAGUCUGCAAAAGACAAAUUCUAAAAGAGAAGAUGCUUUAACCAUGAUGAAUGCAGUGAUGAUGUCUAAGCAGAAUGCUAUCAAUCAUUACAUUGAAGAAUGUGCAAAAUUGAAGCAAGAGUUGGAGACAGAAAAGAUAGAAAAUGAAAGAAUCAGACGAUUGUUGCAAAGUUAUUCAAGUUCUGAUUAUUUGAUUAACUGAAUUUAUCCGACUGUUACAAGUUUUGAAGCGUUUCAAGAUAAAAAGACUGAAGAGAAGGAUACUGGAACAAGUUCCAAGUUCUGAAGAGGAGAAAAAGAACUCAUUCUAGAAGCAAUCGAACAAAGAAUUCCUUGCUAAGAAGCAAGAGGGAAUGAAGAAUGGAGUUCAUCAGAAAAAGGAGACAAGAACCUGUUAUAGAUGUCAAGAAGUUGGUCACAUCGCCUGGAACUGUCCAAAGGCAACCAACACAAAACAGGAAGUUGUUUCUAAACUCAAAGAAAAAG